CUUUAUUUUGAUUCUUUGUCUUAUUUUAAAUUUUUUUACGAUUAAUAUUUUUAUUCUUACUGGAUGAUAAAAUAUGAAUAUUACUUUAUGUGUGACUAACUUUUUUAAGUUUUUAUUACAAAUUUUUUAAAUAAGACGAAUGGUCAAACGUUAGACACGGAAA
rnacentral:pre_miRNA from 1 species